rnacentral:rRNA from 1 species
UACGUAUGGUGCAAGCGUUAUCCGGAUUUACUGGGCGUAGAGGGAGCGCAGGCGGCGCGCCAAGUCUGAUGUGAAACCCCGGGGCUCAACCCCGGGCAUGCAUUGGAAACUGGCGGGCUGGAGUGCCGGAGAGGUAAGCGGAAUUCCUAGUGUAGCGGUGAAAUGCGUAGAUAUUAGGAGGAACACCAGUGGCGAAGGCGGCUUACUGGACGGCAACUGACGCUGAGGCUCGAAAGCGUGGGGAGCAAACAGG